rnacentral:rRNA from 1 species
GAUGAACGCUGGCGGCGUGCCUAAUACAUGCAAGUCGAGCGAACAGAUGAGGAGCUUGCUCCACUGACGUUAGCGACGGACGGGUGAGUAACACGUGGAUAACCUACCUAUAAGACUGGGAUAACUUCGGGAAACCGGAACUACUACCGGGUAAUAUAUUGAACCGCAUGGUUCAAAAGUGAAAGAGGGUUUUGCUGUCAUUUCUAGAUGGAUCCGCGCCGCAUUAGCUAGUUGGUAAGGUAACGGCUUACCAAGGCGACGAUGCGUAGCCGACCUGAGAGGGUGAACGGCCACACUGGAACUGAGACACGGUCCAGACUCCUACGGGAGGCAGCAGUAGGGAAUCUUCCGCGAUGGGCGAAAGCCUGACGGAGCAACGCCGCGUGAGUGAUGAAGGUCUUCGGAUCGUAAAACUCUGUUAUUAGGGAAGAACAAAUGUGUAAGUAACUAUGCACGUCUUGACGGUACCUAAUCAGAAAGCCACGGCUAACUACGUG